rnacentral:rRNA from 1 species
CAAGUCGAACGAUGAAGCUGGAGUUUACUUUGGUGGAUUAGUGGCGAACGGGUGAGUAACACGUGAGCAACGUGCCCAGGACUCUGGAAUAACGUCGGGAAACCGUCGCUAAUACUGGAUAGGUGCCAUGGCCGCAUGGUCUGUGGUUGGAAAGAUUUAUUGGUUCUGGAUCGGCUCACGGCCUAUCAGCUUGUUGGUGGGGUAAUGGCCUACCAAGGCGACGACGGGUAGCCGGCCUGAGAGGGUGACCGGCCACACUGGGACUGAGAUACGGCCCAGACUCCUACGGGAGGCAGCAGUGGGGAAUAUUGCACAAUGGGCGCAAGCCUGAUGCAGCAACGCCGCGUGAGGGAUGACGGCCUUCGGGUUGUAAACCUCUUUUAGUAGGGAAGAAGCCUUUUGGGUGACGGUACCUGCAGAAAAAGCACCGGCUAACUACGUGCCAGCAGCCGCGGUAAUACGUAGGGUGCAAGCGUUGUCCGGAAUUAUUGGGCGUAAAGAGCUCGUAGGCGGUUUGUCGCGUCUGCUGUGAAAGCCCGGGGCUCAACUCCGGGUCUGCAGUGGGUACGGGCAGACUUGAGUGCGGUAGGGGAGAUUGGAAUUCCUGGUGUAGCGGUGGAAUGCGCAGAUAUCAGGAGGAACACCGAUGGCGAAGGCAGAUCUCUGGGCCGUUACUGACGCUGAGGAGCGAAAGCAUGGGGAGCGAACAGGAUUAGAUACCCUGGUAGUCCAUGCCGUAAACGUUGGGCGCUAGAUGUGGGGACCAUUCCACGGUUUCUGUGUCGUAGCUAACGCAUUAAGCGCCCCGCCUGGGGAGUACGGCCGCAAGGCUAAAACUCAAAGGAAUUGACGGGGGCCCGCACAAGCGGCGGAGCAUGCGGAUUAAUUCGAUGCAACGCGAAGAACCUUACCAAGGCUUGACAUAUACCGGUAACGGCCAGAGAUGGUCGCCCUGCUUGCAGUCGGUAUACAGGUGGUGCAUGGUUGUCGUCAGCUCGUGUCGUGAGAUGUUCGGUUAAGUCCGGCAACGAGCGCAACCCUCGUCCUAUGUUGCCAGCGGGUUAUGCCGGGGACUCAUGGGAUACUGCCGUGGUCAACACGGAGGAAGGUGGGGAUGACGUCAAAUCAUCAUGCCCCUUAUGUCUUGGGCUUCACGCAUGCUACAAUGGCCGGUACAGUGGGUUGCGAUACCGUGAGGUGGAGCGAAUCCCAAAAAGCCGGUCUCAGUUCGGAUUGGGGUCUGCAACUCGACCCCAUGAAGUCGGAGUCGCUAGUAAUCGCAGAUCAGCAAACGUGCCG